rnacentral:rRNA from 1 species
GACGAACGCUGGCGGCGUGCUUAACACAUGCAAGUCGAGCGGAAAGGCCCUUCGGGGUACUCGAGCGGCGAACGGGUGAGUAACACGUGAGUAACCUGCCCCAGACUUUGGGAUAACCCUCGGAAACGGGGGCUAAUACCGGAUACGACACAGCUUCGCAUGGGGUCUGUGUGGAAAGUUUUUCGGUUUGGGAUGGGCUCGCGGCCUAUCAGCUUGUUGGUGGGGUGAUGGCCUACCAAGGCGACGACGGGUAGCCGGCCUGAGAGGGCGACCGGCCACACUGGGACUGAGGGACGGCCCAGACGCCUACGGGAGGCAGCAGGGGGGAAUAUUGCACAAUGGGCGGAAGCCUGAGGCAGCGACGCCGCGUGUGGGAUGACGGCCUUCGGGUUGUAAACCGCUUUCAGCAGAGACGAAGCGUAAGUGACGGUACCUGCAGAAGAAGCGCCGGCCAACUACGUG